GCCAGGUAUGGUGGUGCACGCCUGUAAUCCCAGCUACUUGGGAGGCUAAGGUGGGAGAAUUGCUUGAGUCCGGGAGGCAGAGGUUGCAGUGAGCCGAGCCGAGAUUGUGCCACUGCACUCUAGCCUGGGCAACAGAGUGAGACUCUGUCUUAA
rnacentral:SRP_RNA from 1 species